GUAGGUGGCAAGCGUUGUCCGGAAUUAUUGGGCGUAAAGCGCGCGCAGGCGGUUCUUUAAGUCUGAUGUGAAAGCCCACGGCUCAACCGUGGAGGGUCAUUGGAAACUGGAGAACUUGAGUACAGAAGAGGAAAGCGGAAUUCCACGUGUAGCGGUGAAAUGCGUAGAGAUGUGGAGGAACACCAGUGGCGAAGGCGGCUUUCUGGUCUGUAACUGACGCUGAGGCGCGAAAGCGUGGGGAGCAAACAGGGAUUAGAUACCCUGGUAGUCCACGCCGUAAACGAUGAGUGCUAAGUGUUAGGGGGGUUUCCGCCCCCUUAGUGCUGCAGCUAACGCAUUAAGCACUCCGCCCUGGGGAGUACGGCCGCAAGGCUG
rnacentral:rRNA from 1 species